GAUGAACGCUGGCGGCGUGCCUAAUACAUGCAAGUCGAGCGAAUGGAUUAAGAGCUUGCUCUUAUGAAGUUAGCGGCGGACGGGUGAGUAACGCGUGGGUAACCUGCCCAUAAGACUGGGAUAACUCCGGGAAACCGGGGCUAAUACCGGAUAAUAUUUUGAACUGCAUGGUUCAAAAUUGAAAGGCGGCUUCGGCUGUCACUUAUGGAUGGACCCGCGUCGCAUUAGCUAGUUGGUGAGGUAACGGCUCACCAAGGCAACGAUGCGUCGCCGACCUGAGAGGGUGGUGCGCCACACUGGAACUGGGACACGGCCCAGACUCCUACGGGAGGCAGCAGUAGGGAAUCUUCCGCAAUGGACGAAAGUCUGACGGAGCAACGCCGCGUGAGUGAUGAGGGCUUUCGGGUCGUAAAACUCUGUUGUUAGGGAAGAACAAGUGCUAGUUGAAUAAGCUGGCACCUUGACGGUACCUAACCAGAAAGCCACGGCUAACUACGUGCCAGCCGCCGCCGUAA
rnacentral:rRNA from 1 species